CCUACGGGAGGCAGCAGUGAGGAAUAUUGGUCAAUGGCCGGAAGGCUGAACCAGCCAUGCCGCGUGAAGGUCAGUGCCCUAUGGGCGUUAAACUUCUUUUGUGCGGGAGCAAUAAUGGUCACGUGUGGCCAGACGAGAGUACCGUACGAAUAAGCAUCUGCUAACUCCGUGCCAGCAGCCGCGGUAAUACGGGGGGUGCAAGCGUUAUCCGGGUUUAUGGGGUUUUAAGGGGGCGUAGUCUGGGAGGUAAGUCAGCGGGGAAAUGCCCCCGCUCAACGGGGUGAAGUGCCAUUGAUACUGGCUUGCUGGAAUGCGGAUGCCGUGGGCGGAAUGUGUGGUGUAGCGGUGAAAUGCAUAGAUAUCACACAGAACUCCGAUUGCGAAGGCAUCUCACGAAUCCGCGAUUGACGCUGAGGCACGAAAGCGUGGGUAUCAAACAGGAUUAGAUACCCUUGUAGUC
rnacentral:rRNA from 1 species